GAUUUGGUGCUCAAGAAACAUUUCUUAUCAAUGUUGAAAACAGUUGUGCUGCUUAAUAUUUAUGCAUAAACCAUGAUAUUAAUUCCUGCUAGUCACCAAGGCAACAUUUCUCAUUUUCAUUUAGAUUUCAUUUAGGUACUAAACUAAAACUGAAACAUUAAACUACAUAGGCACAUUAAAGAGAAAAAGGAAAAGAAAAAUGACAAAGUUAUUCAACUUUAAAAUUAAUAUGAAAACAGAAAAUAUAAAACUAACUCAAAAUACUAAUAAAAACUAUAAUAGUAUUUCAGUUACACUAAAAUAACUGAGUUUACAACUACAUCAAGAUUUUCUUCUUAAGAAAAAGCAGAAAUGAAGAUGAGCAAACUGAGCGGUCAAAUUUUUAUUAGUAUUAAUAUGUUUAACAUCAAAACCUUUUGGGUUAUGUGCAAAGUAUAAAUCAUUCCAACUCUUGUUGAACUUUGUAGACAUUUUAGUAAAUUUAAACAACCUUUACAUAGUUCAUCCAUCAGUCUACCCCCAAUACCUCAGCAGCCCCUAAAUUACAUAAUAGUUAACAUUUUAUUAGUCUGCAAUUUGACAUUUUAACGCUUUUUGAUAUUUAAGAUUUAAAAAAAUGUUUUGCAUCCUCCAGAUUACUAUAGGAUGUUUUAGCAGUGUAUUAGCUUACAGCAGAGCAAAAUCUGUCAUUUAAAAUAAAAAUCUAGACUAAAGAUUAACUAGUACAAAAAUCAAUUCUAUGUGUAUUUCCUACAUGUGAUAAUUGGCCAUAUAUCACAAAUCUCAAGCCAAAUAUAUUUUCCAGUAUAUAAUCUGGUAUCUGUGACAGUUCACAGUUUUAAAUGUACACUAAUUUAUCCUCUGCGAGUCCUUCCCUCUCCCAUGGUCAACUUGGUACUAGUUAUUUUCAUACAUCACACCCCACACACCCUGUUGGAGACUUUAAACUGCCCGCUUA